GUGGCUCAGUUCAGAUCGUAGGCUGCAACUCGCCUACGUGAAGUAGGAAUCGCUAGUAAUCGCAGGUCAGCAUACUGCGGUGAAUACGUUCCCGAGCCUUGUACACACCGCCCGUCACACCAUGGAAGUUGGCCAUGCCCGAAGUCGUUACUCCAACCCUUGUGGAGGAGGACGCCGAAGGUGGGGCUAAUGACUGGGGUGAAGUCGUAACAAGGUAGCCGUACCGGAAGGUGCGGCUGGAUCACCUCCUAACAGGGAGACAACAAAAUGUUUAAUAUUAUUUUGUCACCUUAGGUCGAUCGGUAUCUCACGUUCUUAAUUUAUUAAGAAUUUCAUUUUCUAAGUUUUUCUAGGUCACACCCAUUAUUUUUCCUGGGCCAUUAGCUCAGGUGGUUAGAGCGCACCCCUGAUAAGGGUGAGGUCCCUGGUUCAAGUCCAGGAUGGCCCAUAUCUCUAUGUUGGGGGUAUAGCUCAGUUGGUAGAGCGCCUGCUUUGCAAGCAGGAUGUCAGCGGUUCGAGUCCGCUUACCUCCACUGAUUACCACCUCUUCCAUAAUCUGUUGAAAGGAAAUCUUUUGAGUUGUGAUCAAAUUCUGAACGAAUCUAGCUUCCUAAUGAAAUCAUUAAGAUGCUGGACUCAUUGAAUUAAUUUCAUUGUUUUCAGAGAACCUUGACAACUGCAUAGAUUAUUUUUAAAGACAAUAAGCAUCUUUAAUGAUGCAGAUAUAUUAUUUGUGCAAAU
rnacentral:misc_RNA from 1 species